rnacentral:ncRNA from 1 species
AACUGAUAAAGGCAAACUUUUCGAAAGAAAAGGACGCAAAGCCAUGAGCCUAACCACUUGAAAAAGUGUAUGGUAGUCAGGCUGCCGGG